rnacentral:rRNA from 1 species
UACGGAGGGGGCUAGCGUUGUUCGGAAUUACUGGGCGUAAAGCGCGCGUAGGCGGCUUUGUAAGUUAGAGGUGAAAGCCCGGAGCUCAACUCCGGAAUUGCCUUUAAGACUGCAUCGCUUGAAUCCAGGAGAGGUGAGUGGAAUUCCGAGUGUAGAGGUGAAAUUCGUAGAUAUUCGGAAGAACACCAGUGGCGAAGGCGGCUCACUGGACUGGUAUUGACGCUGAUGUGCGAAAGCGUGGGGAGCAAACAGG